rnacentral:lncRNA from 1 species
GACAGGGUCGUCUUUAUCGUACAAUCCCUCUCCAUCGUCUUCGCUGGAGCCCUACCACCGGGAAACACAAAGUAUGCCAAUGGCCACCAAAAUAACACCGUAGGUCCUCCAUAACCUCCUCUCCCCUUUCCCCUAAGUGGUUUCCUUCGAAUCUGCCCGGAAAGUCUCAAAUAUCAGUUUGAAGAUUUUCCGGCCAAGUUGACAUUUGGUCCAAAUCGGCCCAAAAUCGUACCAUGCAAUCUCCCUGACCUCCUCUACCUGAAUCCCAACCCAAAACCCCUCAAAUCCGCCUUCAAAGCUUCAUGUAUGGAUUUCAGGAUUCUAAAAAGAUAUGAGAGUCUCAUUGGAGGACCGUCCGGGGUCGAUUCGAGUUCCUAAGUAGCCUCAUACGGUUAUUCCCUAAAGAACAGACGUGUAAGGUUAUUUGGUUGCCCAAUUCGAAUUCAUUAUGAUUCAAUUAUUCAAGCAGUGAGUUUUCUUUAGAAUUUCUUUAGUUCUGUUUUUCUAUGAGUGCAUCUGUGACGCAAUCGUUUAGUUUUACUUCCAUUUUGGUUUGAGACUUGGGUCGUUUAAAUUUCAGAUUUGUUUGUCGUGUUGAUUGAUACUUAUUAGUUUGAUUUUGUCUUGGCCAGUUUAAUUGUUUAAUGUUAGCCAAAUUACAAUAAGUUUAGAUUAUCAGUUUAGUUGAAAUUUCUUUAUUUUAACAUUGAUUCAGUUUGGUUUUAAUUUGGUUUUAGUUUAUUUUUACUUUAGUGCUCAUUUGCAAUUUAGUUAGGCUUAAGUUUGGUUGUAGCUGUUAUACAACUCUAAUGAUUAAGAGUCUAAUAAUUUGGGAGGUUAACAAAGGUAAAUUGAACAAAGGUCAAAGGGGAAUGGGUUGUAGUAAUUUCAUAUGGUUAGAAGAGCAGUUUGGGCAUGAGAAAAGGGUAGGAUUUUGAAGAACAGUAAUAAUAAAACAAAGGUGAGGGUAUUUUAGGAAUUGUGUAGCCAAAAAAGCAUUUUAGAAGCUCCUGGAAUGGGACUAUAGUGUAGAUUUCAAUAAAACUAGGGCAGUAACUUGGGAAACAAGUUAAAAACUGAUGGACCAAAGCUGUAAAUAAAAUAGGGACUUAAGUGAAAACAGAUAUUUUAGGGCUGCCCCUUACUUUGCCUAUAGGAAUGGCAUUCCCAUGACUUCACACUCAAGCUUGUAGCCUCACAAAAUCCCCUGCCUUUCUCUCAAAGUUUCAGAGCUGAAAAUUUAACAUCAAAACUUCAAAUAUUCAAAAGAAAAAAUCAAAAAAAAAAAUCAAAAAACUUCAAAACAUAAAAAUAGCAAUGUUCAGUGAAAAUUUCAAUUUAAUUUCAAAUUUUGGCAGUCCAAAAAUACCCCCAAGCUUCGAGAUCCAAAAUUCAGAUCCGAAAUUCCCUUAGUUUUAGCUUUCUUCAUACAGAAAACCAAAAAUAUUAGAAGCUUUUUUCAAAAAAAAAACCAAAAGUCAUUGUUUCAUUGGAAAUUGUAGGUUAAUUUUGAUGUUCUAGUUGUUAAUUCACAUCUUUUAGUCCACUGUUUGAUUGCUGAUGUUCAGAAGGGUUGUUGGGUCGGUUCCAAGCAGUUUUGAGUCUAAUUAAAUUCGUACGGAUUAAGAUUUGGGGCUGUAGAGAGGUGCUGAUAGGUUGCUGGUUUGACAGAGUGCAUUUUUGGUUGUUUUGGUUCGAUUUAUUGAUUUAAUUUGAGUUCUCAACUCUCCUAGGACAUCUAAAAAUCAUUCUGGGAUGUGUCUCAAUUCCAACGGCUGUGUAUUUUGCUGUUUGAACAUCUCAUGGUCUACUGUUGUUCGAACUGCUGCUGACUUACUCUCCCCCUUUAUUAUUCUUCAAAUCUCCAGGUACAAUACUCGAACCUAACAUGGAACUGAAAGUUGAUUGGUUUGCAUGAAGCUGUUGGAAAUUCAAUAAAAUAUCUCAAGUUUUGAUAUUGUUGAAUACUUUUAGUAUACAUGAUUGUUUCAAUUCUAGGUUCACAUGAUUGUUUGUAGUUGUAGUUCUAAUGUGCGUUAGCAAUUUAAUUAGUUUAGGUUGUGAGAAGUAGAGAAUUGUCGAGUCAGGAAUCACUUAUUUCUGAUUUAAUUGUCACAUGUAUAAUUGUUCCAAAUCAGGAAUCACUUAUUUCUCACAUGUAUAAUUGUUCCAAAUUUGCUUCACUUAACAAUAUUAGUUUCAUGUUAGGGUGUGAAGGUCUAUUCGUAAAGGAAGUAUUAAAUUGUUUGGUUUGGGUGCAUAAAAAAAAUAGAAUUUCCAUAGUUGAGUUUUUUUUUCACCCUGAUGUCGGUUUGCUUUUCAUCUUAAUGGUAUUCAACAAUUCAGCAGAAGCAAGGAAUAGAAAAAUAAUCUAAGCUAGGAUUUGUAAUCCAAAGUAACCAGUGAUUAAUCAACAUAAAUAGGCGUGCAUCGUUUUUCCCUGCGUUAUAAGUGUACAGAAAUUUGAAGUAACUUUAAAGGAUAAUUGGUACACAUUAUCAUGGAGAUAUGGGCUGGGAUUUGCAUUUUUGCCUCUUUUUCUUUCGAUCUUUGAGAAAGAGACCUAUGUUUGAGGCCCGACUUCAAGCUGGACUCAUGCCAAACUGGGUUAGUGACUCAACUACAGUUAUUAGUGAAAUGGAAUGAAGAUAAUUACUUA